GACUUCUUUGCCGUGAAGACAGUAGGGAAUAGUGAGCUAUUUUUGUCUGAAUUUAGUGGUUGGAAAAAGCUUGAGAAAAAUAUCUAGGAGUACAGUCAUUCAAUUCUCUCUUUUCUGGAAUGUACCAUUCUAUUUGUAAUCCAUCGUUGCUGCCAAUUUAAUGAGAGAGGAGACACAGUCUCAGCAGAUUUCCCGGUCCUUUGGCUCUUACAGUCUUUCAGCAUCCACCUUCUUCCACAAUGUUCCUGAGACUUCGCUGCAGGAGUUGUGUUGUCGACAUCGCUCUUGGAACUGUGCAUAUGAUCACUUGUUCUCUGCAUUUUGACUACGGUUUUCUGUAAUGCUCUUCGUCUGUUGCAGAGGGAAGCCUCUUUGGCGAGGGAUGAGCGGUAUACUUAUCUAUUCCACUACAUCAUCUUGGAGGGCACAGACCACACCAUUAUAUGAACAAGCCUGGCUGCUUUCCAGAUUCAGUUGUCCAUGUUCCAGUGGAUGGCUAUACAGUCACGCAAACAACGCAGCAUUAAUUGGACUCAGUGGGCAAACAAAACAGAGAUGUGUUGUGAGCAGCUGCUCCAACCUCCUGCCACCUGGACUCCACUCCCCCAUCAUGAUGUGCCAAGACCUGGAAUUGCACUUUAAAAUAAAAGCCUUGCUUCCUUCAAUUGCCACAGUCAGGAAUGUUGUCACAACAGAUAGUAACUAGUACAAGACUCCAAAUUUCAGUUCUAUGAAGUCUACUCAUUCUUCUUUUGAUAGAGGAGCUUAAAGAAGCACAGAGAGGCUAAAAUCAAAACAUCUGCCCAAGAGGAAACACAACGUGAGCUGAACCUGCCUCUGAGUAGCAGAAGGAGAAUGAAGAAUUAAGCUUGGAGCCUUUGCUGGAGGUGUUUUAUCUUCUUGGAAUGCUGCUCAGCCAUCAAGGCUCAACAGAGAUGUUCUUUCCUGCGUGGUGUCUGUCCUGCUAAAUGGCCCUCUCACAUGUCAUGACCCUCCUUGUCAAGUGGUUUGUGGAAUGGAUGGAGGCAUAGGAGCAGGGCAUUGUAUAGACUGAAGAAAAGACAUGAAGUAGUUCAAAGGUGACUGUUUAUUUAUCUAAUCCAUAGCCAGAUAUUCAUACUGCUUAUGAGGCGUUUAUAGUGCUGUCACCACAUAAAGGCUAUGUGCAGGAAGCUGCAGAAAACUUGAUUUGCAGGGGAAGACUCGUUUACAGAUGUCCAUCAACAAACACACUGCUCAACUCACUUGUCUACAGCCAUAGGGCAAGGGUAGGAAGGGAGGCACUAACCAAAUCAUAACACCUAUUUUUUUUUAUUGCCCCAGACUUCCCAGUUUUACUCUUACUGCUAGGAAAACUAUCAAUUAGGCGAAAAUAUUUCUGAACGUCCCCUGACUUUGCUUGAAUUGUAUACACUCUAGAACCUUGAACAAAGACUCCAUCCCAGAAAGUUCGAGAGAGGAAAUGGGGAAAAUGGUCCAAAGAGGAAGGAAAAACCCAAAGCAUUUGUAUUAAUGAUGAGAUUAUACUGUGGGCAGAGGCUAGGUGUGUGAGUGAGUGAUGUUUGCUCACUACACGUAUGGUUUAAUAAGGCUGCACUGCAUACCAGUGGAUCCUGAAUGAGAUUAGCAAUGACUCACAAAGAGAAAUUUACCUUUGGUCACAGACUAUCGUGUUGCUUUAAAUUCUAAAGACUCUUUGUGUGUGUGUGUGUGUGUGUGUGUGUGUGUGUGUGUGUGUGUGAGAGAGAGAGAGAGA